rnacentral:rRNA from 1 species
UACGAACCGUACAAACGUUAUUCGGAAUCACUGGGCUUAAAGGGUGCGUAGGCGGCCAUGUAAGUGAGGUGUGAAAUCCCUCGGCUCAACCGAGGAACUGCGCUUCAUACUGCAUGGCUUGAGGGAGACAGGGGUAAGCGGACUGAUGGUGGAGCGGUGAAAUGCGUUGAUAUCAUCAGGAACACCGGUGGCGAAAGCGGCUUACUGGGUCUCUUCUGACGCUGAGACGCGAAAGCGUGGGGAGCGAACCGG